AGAUUCAUAUUGUCUUGAGUGCUGUUUUUAAUAUAAAAAGAAUGUUGAGUUUUCAGAGUCUUUAUUGUCAUUUUUUGUGAUAGGACCCUACCAGACUAUAUUUGAAUACGGCAUACCCAUGAAUUCUGGAACUGUUAUUCCUUAACCCAGUUUGGAGGAUAAGAGCUUACCAACUAGUUAUAAAUAUGCUGAGGUGAUGUAUUGCAAAAUAGCCAACAUACAACAAUAUGGAUGACCCUCUGUCUGGUCAACAGGAGUUUAAAUAUGGACGGGACAGUGAUGUGGCAGCUCUUCCCUGGCUCAUUCACCUCUUGCCUUUCAUUUGUGAAAGGAAGAAAAACUGGAGAGGGUCAAUGUGCAACUGAAGCUACUGAUUGUGCUGUGUGAUGAGCAUCAAUCCAUGCUUUGAGGGGAAUGAAUCAGCACAGCCCUGCCUGCACUGCGUUGGGAACAGAAGUUGCAUCCAGAAUUUUUGCAUCAUUCUGGACCAAAAAGCCAUUCCCUCCAUGAUGAAGACCACUGAUGCAGCCUUCCACUACAUCAUGAGUAAAACAACUACAGAACUAAAUACCAGGUUGGAACGUAUUUAAGAAAAAUGAAACGUCUUUUGAAUUGAAAUGUCUGUUUUGUUAUGGAAAAAUCUUUAGUAUUGUGAAGGAUAAGCAUUUCUGCCUGCCAGUAAGGUAAUUGCAGUGUAUUUUAAUGUUCAAGUUUUGAGUAGGGUGGCUAAUUUUUUUUUAAACUCUCAUUUGAUAUAUUAAAGACCUUAUAAUAAGUGGUUUUUAUGUCACUGCGCUGUGGUAUAAGAUAACUUUCAUUAUUCCAUACUGUA